UGAGGAAUAUUGGUCAAUGGGCGCAAGCCUGAACCAGCCAUCCCGCGUGAAGGAAGAAGGCGCUAUGCGUUGUAAACUUCUUUUCCAGGGGGCGAACGUUCCGUACGUGUACGGGAGUGACGGUACCCUGGGAAUAAGCAUCGGCUAACUCCGUGCCAGCAGCCGCGGUAAUACGGAGGAUGCAAGCGUUAUCCGGAUUCAUUGGGUUUAAAGGGUGCGCAGGCGGAUUAAUAAGUCAGUGGUGAAAUCCUACGGCUCAACUGUAGAACUGCCAUUGAUACUGUUAGUCUUGAGUAUUGUUGAGGUAGGCUGAAUGUGUCAUGUAGCGGUGAAAUGCUUAGAUAUGACACAGAACACCAAUCGCGAAGGCAGCUUACCAAGCAAUAACUGACGCUCAUGCACGAAAGCGUGGGGAUCAAACA
rnacentral:rRNA from 1 species